UCCCUGGUAGUAUAUCGGUUAGUACACGCGCCUGUCAUUACAAAUUUGGCUCAACAUGACGCGCGAAAGCUGGGUUCGACUCCCAGCCAGGGAG